rnacentral:rRNA from 1 species
UCCUACGGGGCGCAGCAGUGAGGAAUAUUGGUCAAUGGGCGCGAGCCUGAACCAGCCAAGUAGCGUGAAGGAUGAAGGUUCUAUGGAUUGUAAACUUCUUUUAUAAAGGAAUAAAGUGAGGCACGUGUGCCUUUUUGUAUGUACUUUAUGAAUAAGGAUCGGCUAACUCCGUGCCAGCAGCCGCGGUAAUACGGAGGAUCCGAGCGUUAUCCGGAUUUAUUGGGUUUAAAGGGAGCGUAGGUGGAUUGUUAAGUCAGUUGUGAAAGUUUGCGGCUCAACCGUAAAAUUGCAGUUGAAACUGGCAG